CGAGGGAGCCCCGGCACAGGAGUAAGCGUCGUCUCUCUAGGAACGCUUGGGGGCCCGGCGGCAGCUCAGAACUCCGGGUGUCCCGAGGCCUCGCUGACGCCGCAGGGGGUGCCCCUGCUUUUUUCCGCUUGUUGGCCAUUGCUACUGCGACCUGCUUUUUCUACUGAGAUGAAGUGCCUGUUUAUUUAAAGUGAAGCAGAAGCCUGAGAACCGCGUUUGGGGACCCACCACGGAAAAGCAUUGUAUGAAAUAAUGACAUUCUCUGACUUCCCUCCUUUGGCUGCUCUGCUCUGAUCUCGGCAAGCCUUGCAUCCACAGAGCCACUGAAUGGCAAGCAAUGAUUCUAGCCCAACGUUUGUAAACUUGAGGUUCACAGGCUGUAUGUGGCCAACAGGAUGAUGGUAAUAUUUCCUGUUGGAGACAUUUAUAAAGCAGGAGACACAUGAUCUUAUUUGGAGCAGGUGGGAGAGAGUUCAGAUGACAUCCCUUCCCUAUUCGUCCUCCCAAGCAUAGUCUGUUCACAGGAAACAUCCUGACCAGGCCCACCUGUGAAUGACUGCAGGAAGGAAGAAAUUAACAUAUCCCCUCUGGAAGCUGACCAGAAGCAGGAAAUGUUUGACUUUACUCCCUCCCCUUUCAGUGUAAAAGAAGCCUGAUUCUAAUUAUGGCAAGAUGGUUCUUUGGGACAUGAGUCUACCAUCUUCUCAGUCUGCCGGUUUUCCAAGUAAUGUUGCUGUUCUUUGCCCCAACAUCUCGUCUCUCAAUUGAUUGGUCUGUCAUGUGGUGAGCAGUAUGAGCUUGGACUCGGUAAGAGUCGGGCAAGUCAAUCUUUUGAUAUCAUUUAGGCAGCACCCCAGUUCUUUGGGAAAUUGAAAGCAACUGUCAUUUGUCUUGCAAGUAUUUGCAAGAUCAGAAAUAUAAACACAGCCCAAAAUGGCCUGAGACUGAGCCUAGUUAACUCAAUCAGGUAGAACCUGAAACCUAAAGGGAGAAUAAAAAGAGGGAAAGAAGCCUUUUUAAAAGUAAAAACUGCUGGCACCCAGAGAUAUUGUAAUUAUUCCAUUUAUAUGAAAUAUCCAGAAUAGGCAUAUCCAUAGAAAGCUCAUUAGCGGUUGCCAGGGACUGAGUGGGAAAUGGAAAGCGAUUGCUAAUGGAUACAGGGUUUCUUCUUGGGGUGAUAGAACUAGUGGUGAUGAUUGUACACCUCUGUGAAAAAACCACUGAAAUGUACACUUUAAAAGGGUGAAUUUUAUGGCAUGUGAGUUAUAUCUCAAUAAAAAUUACAGCACUCAUCAGAAAAAAAUGUUGUAUAUAUAUAUAUAUUUACAAUGGAAUACUACUCAGCUAUAAAAAGAUGAGAUCUUGCCAUUUGCUAUGACAUGGAUAGACUUUGAGGAUAUUAGGCUAAGUGAAAUAAAUCAGAGAACGACAAAUUCCGUAUGAUUUCACUCAUGUGGAAUAUUUAAAAAGUAAAAUAAAACCAAACCAAACAAAAACAAACUCAUAGAUAACGAGGCCAAAGUACUGGUUACCAGAGGGAGAGUGAAAUGGGUAAAGGGGACCAACUGUAUGCUGAUGGGUGGAAACAAAACUUUUGGUGGUAGGUGCACUGUAAGUGUAUACAAAAGUUGAAACAUAAUGUUGUACACAUAGAACUUCUAUUAUGUUAUAAACCAAUGUUACUUCAAUUUUAAAAAAUCUUUCUGAGGUCUUUAAAAAAAGAAAUUAUGUUUUAUGAUAUGUCUAUUUAAUAGUUUCUCCAAAUCUUUUUGGUAAUUUAAAACUUUAGAGUUUUUUCUAAAGUAAGCUAAAUGAUGGAAGUUUAUUGAAUAUCCAGAUCAUUUCCAAAUAAGAUAAAAUAAUGAAACAUUAAUUGUUGAGCAUGUCUAAGUUUAACUACUUUCAUCUUCUUAUAAGAUUAAGAAGCCAAAGAUGUUUGGGUUUAUCCCAUACAUCUUGUACCACAUUAAGGAGAGAAAUUAUGCUAUGAGAAAAUCUGUGUUUCUAGAGGUUGUGGAGCAUGUUCAUAAGUUUUCCAGUCAGGAAAUGCUAGUAUGACAGCUCACAAUUGCUUGCUUCUUAGUUUUCUCUAGAGAUUAGGGGUUUUAAGAAUACAAUUAAUACAUAUAAUUGGGACUACUAAAAUUAAUAAGGAAAGCAUCUUCAUAUGCAACGGAAAAAAGAGUUUAAGAAUUGUAAAUCCUUUUUGUUAAGGGAAAAGAAAGUAAUUUUGUCCUAAGAGAGGUUAAAAAAUAGAGAAAAGGGGAAAGCAUGGGACAAAAUUUGAAGGUGAAAAAGGAAGUUACAGGUUUGUGGAAAAGAAUCCCUGAGAAAAGAGUUUUGUAUGUGAUCAGGACUGGCUAACACUGGAAUAAAUUUAAGUGAGUGAAUAAGUUUUAAUAUUAAAAGUAAGCUGGUCCAAAAGUAGAGUCUGGUUUUCUCUCAGUUAAUAGGACAAAGUUUUCUUGGAAUAUUGAUCUGCUUUUGAUAAUAGCUUCUAAAGUUUCUUUACCUUCUAAGUUCCCUGUCAUAACUUUCUGUAGUUUACCUUUGAAAUAUUUUAGUGUCGCUUUGGUUAAAUAAUUAACUGAGUAUUGUUUCACAGUGACUGUGAUUCUGUUUGACCAAGUUUUUCCAAGUGUUUUAAAACCUUUUGAUAUCUUUGACUAACCCCCCAAAUCAAUUCUAAAUGAAGUCUCCUUUUGACCUCUAGCUAACUUUGGGGUGUUUCAGAGGUUUCCUGAAACAUCUCAAAGAGAGGUAUUAAACCAAUGAUGCUUAUUUGGGUAUGUUGAAUUAUGUCGGAAGCAUUGUCAAAUGAGUGAUGAUAAACUUUCUUAGAUUAUAUUGUAUGGGCAAAUAUUAUUAAUGUAAAUGUUCUAGAAGUUAUUUAAAAUUCCUAAAAUUCAGAUAUGUGCUGGUAUGUUGUCAGUCAUAAUUCUGGUUAUUAUCUUAAAAUUUUGUAUGCCACAGAAAUAUCAAAAUUUCCUUUUCAA